rnacentral:rRNA from 1 species
UACGAAGGGGCUAGCGUUGCUCGGAAUUACUGGGCGUAAAGCGCACGUAGGCGGCUUCUAAGUCGGGGGUGAAAUCCUGGAGCUCAACUCCAGAACUGCCUUCGAUACUGGAGAGCUCGAGUCCGGGAGAGGUGAGUGGAACUGCGAGUGUAGAGGUGAAAUUCGUAGAUAUUCGCAAGAACACCAGUGGCGAAGGCGGCUCACUGGCCCGGUACUGACGCUGAGGUGACGAAAGCGUGGGGAGCAAACAGGAUUAGAUACCC